rnacentral:rRNA from 1 species
CCUACGGGAGGCAGCAGUGGGGAAUAUUGCGCAAUGGGCGAAAGCCUGACGCAGCGACGCCGCGUGAGGGAUGAAGGCCUUCGGGUCGUAAACCUCUUUCAGCAGGGAAGAAGCGUAAGUGACGGUACCUGCAGAAGAAGCACCGGCUAACUACGUGCCAGCAGCCGCGGUAAUACGUAGGGUGCAAGCGUUGUCCGGAAUUAUUGGGCGUAAAGAGCUCGUAGGCGGUCUGUCGCGUCUGCUGUGAAAACCCUAGGGCUUAACUCUGGGCGUGCAGUGGGUACGGGCAGACUAGAGUGCGGUAGGGGAGACUGGAAUUCCUGGUGUAGCGGUGAAAUGCGCAGAUAUCAGGAGGAACACCGGUGGCGAAGGCGGGUCUCUGGGCCGUAACUGACGCUGAGGAGCGAAAGCAUGGGGAGCGAACAGGAUUAGAUACCCUGGUAGUCCAUGCCGUAAACGUUGGGCGCUAGGUGUGGGGUCCAUUCCACGGAUUCUGCGCCGCAGCUAACGCAUUAAGCGCCCCGCCNGGGGAGUACGGCCGCAAGCUAAAACCUUAAGGAAUUGACGG